UCCCAGUUCGGAUUGCAGGCUGCAACCCGCCUGUAUGAAGUUGGAAUCGCUAGUAAUCGCGGAUCAGCAUGCCGCGGUGAAUACGUUCCCGGGCCUUGUACACACCGCCCGUCACACCAUGAGAGUCGGGAACACCCGAAGUCCGUAGUCUAACUUUCACGAGAGGACGCGGCCGAAGGUGGGUUCGAUAAUUGGGGUGAAGUCGUAACAAGGUAUC
rnacentral:rRNA from 1 species